AUCCCUGCCUCGUCUUAUAUUGCCAGGGGCAGGGUUACAGGUCGGUUGAUUACAAGAAUACUAGUCAGAUAUGACUAGAGGAGUUCUACUCUUAUUACAACGAGUAUUUUCCUAAUCCUCGACUAGUUCCUGUCUUUCCAUGUAGACUACACUGUCCUGCGCUAUGGUCUCCAUGUCAGAUGCAUCUCGGUGUCUAGCCCUAUAUUUAGGACUGUCCAAAC
rnacentral:lncRNA from 1 species